GAUGAACGCUGGCGGCGUGCCUAAUACAUGCAAGUCGAGCGAAUGGAUUAAGAGCUUGCUCUUAUGAAGUUAGCGGCGGACGGGUGAGUAACACGUGGGUAACCUGCCCAUAAGACUGGGAUAACUCCGGGAAACCGGGGCUAAUACCGGAUAACAUUUUGAACCGCAUGGUUCGAAAUUGAAAGGCGGCUUCGGCUGUCACUUAUGGAUGGACCCGCGUCGCAUUAGCUAGUUGGUGAGGUAACGGCUCACCAAGGCAACGAUGCUUAGCCGACCUGGGAGGGUGAUCGGCCACACUGGGACUGGGCCACGGCCCAGACUCAUACGGGAGGCAGCAGUAGGGAAUCUUCCGCAAUGGACGAAAGUCUGACGGAGCAACGCCGCGUGAGUGAUGAAGGCUUUCGGGUCGUAAAACUCUGUUGUUAGGGAAGAACAAGUGCUAGUUGAAUAAGCUGGCACCUUGACGGUACCUAACCAGAAAGCCACGGCUAACUACGUGCCAGCAGCCGCCGUAA
rnacentral:rRNA from 1 species